rnacentral:rRNA from 1 species
GCCCGAUGAACCUGAAUAUCCGUUAUGGAAAAUUCAUCAUUAAAAUUGUAAUAUUUAAAUAAUAUUAUAAUAAUAGUGUGCAUUUUUUCCAUAUAAGGACAUUGUAAUCUAUUAACAUAAACCAAAUUUAUCAUAAAAUAUGACUUAUAGUUUAUUUAAAUUAUUUUGCUUGCAAUUUAACAUAAAAUAAAUGUCAUUAAUUUGAUAAAGUGUUGAUAGAUUUAUAUGAAUACAGUGCGUUAAUUUUUUUAAAAUUAUAUAAUAGCAUGAUUAUCAUUGAUUUUCUAUGUUUAUUAUAUGCACUUGUAUGAUUAACAAUGCGAAAGAUUCAGGAUACUUCGGG